rnacentral:rRNA from 1 species
CCCUUAGAUGUUCUGGGCCGCACGCGUGCUACACUGAGUGGAUCAGCGGGUCAGGUUGCGCGAAAGCGUUUCCUAAUCUUUAAAUCCGCUCGUGAUGGGGAUUGACGGUUGCAAUUUUCUGUCAUGAACGAGGAAUACCUUGUAAGCGCGGGUCAUCAUCCCGCGCUGAAUACGUCCCUGCCCUUUGUACACACCGCCCGUCGCUCCUACCGAUUGAGUGGUCCGGUGAGGCUUUGGGAUCUGAGCGGAAAGAGCGUUUCGCUGUUUCUGCUCGGAAAACUCAGUCGAACCUUAUCAUAUAGAGGAAGGAGAAGUCGUAACA